UGGGGAAUUUUGGACAAUGGGCGAAAGCCUGAUCCAGCAAUGCCGCGUGUGUGAAGAAGGCCUUCGGGUUGUAAAGCACUUUUGUCCGGAAAGAAAUCCUUGGCUCUAAUACAGUCGGGGGAUGACGGUACCGGAAGAAUAAGCACCGGCUAACUACGUGCCAGCAGCCGCGGUAAUACGUAGGGUGCAAGCGUUAAUCGGAAUUACUGGGCGUAAAGCGUGCGCAGGCGGUUUGCUAAGACCGAUGUGAAAUCCCCGGGCUCAACCUGGGAACUGCAUUGGUGACUGGCAGGCUAGAGUAUGGCAGAGGGGGGUAGAAUUCCACGUGUAGCAGUGAAAUGCGUAGAGAUGUGGAGGAAUACCGAUGGCGAAGGCAGCCCCCUGGGCCAAUACUGACGCUCAUGCACGAAAGCGUGGGGAGCAAACAGGAUUAGAUACCCUGGUAGUCCACGCCCUAAAACGAUGUCAACCAGUUGUUGGGGAUUCAUUUCCUUAGUAACGUAGCUAACGCGUGAAGUUGACCGCCUGGGGAGUACGGUCGCAAGAUUAAAACUCAAAGGAAUUGACGGGGUCAUAGCUGUUUCC
rnacentral:rRNA from 1 species